rnacentral:misc_RNA from 1 species
GCAUGCCAAGGCUAAAGAAACUCACAAUAAAUGGUGAGUACCGUCAAAUGAGUCGCUUAUUCAAGGUAUGAUCCUCAAUUUCCUAAUAGCUUUUACCCUUCCUCAACCUAAGCUUUGUCAUAUGUAUGGUCUAAUUUUUCACCUUUUUUUUUAACAUACAGCUUGGUUUCCUUUAGUUAUCAAAUGUCUUUUAAAAAUUAUAAUUUUAGUUUUGAUUCGUGAAUAACCACAGUUGCAUAUCUCAUGAAUCUCUUGUAAAUAAAAUUGUAGUAUCUCAAAUUAAAAUUUAUAAAUAAUUAAAUAUGAUGGUGGACAAAUUUCUUAGACUAAAUGACUUGACCAAUGCUUUCAAAAGAAGAAAAGUCAACAAGAGUAAAUUGAACUUCUGAUUUAGUAGAACAUCACUUUAAAAAUAUAUCUGUAUUUAUUAUAUGCUUUAUAUCCUCAAAUUUGAAUAUGAUAAAUAAUAUAAAUAUAAUUGGCAAAACUCAUUACAUAACCUCAUUUAUUCGCUAUACAGGAAGUUGUUGCUAAUGAUGAAUCUGAUUCUUCCGAGUAUGAAGUAGAUGAUAAAUCUGAUGUUGCCAAGUGUGAAGUAGAUGAUGAAUCUGAUGAUGCCAAAUAUGAAGUAGAUGAUGAAUCUGAUGUUAAGCAACUUUAAAUCCUUGAUGAUGCCAAAUUUCAGGCAGAAGAGCAAAAUGGCAUUCAAUUCUUAAGGUAUUUGUAGCAUAAUCUUCCACAUUCGUUAUUUUAUGCUACACAAUAUGAUAUCUACAGAAUUCACAAAAUGGAUCAGACUAUACUAUCAAACAUCAUUAAUUCCUAGUCCUAACAACCUUUAAUUGGAAUUUUGUAUAUUAGCUUGAUCUCACGAUUGUGUUGCUAAGUUGUGCUUAUCUUUGUUGUUUUUUGCAGGAGAUUUAGAACUCUGGGGCUGCUGGAUCCUUGCUGUUGCGUUGGUUUCCUCGGAGGCGUUUGUUGUUUCUUUGGGCUUCCAAUUCUUUGAUUUGGUGGUCUUUUUUAUCUUGCUGCUGUUGGUGUCUUCUUGCUCCUUUGUUAUUUGGAGUUUGCUUUGCUGUCCUUGAUGUG